rnacentral:lncRNA from 1 species
GCUGCAUGGGCUAUGCUGCUUUUGGAGACUUAGCCCCUGGAAACUUGCUCACUGGUUUUGGCUUCUAUAACCCAUAUUGGCUCUUAGACAUUGCCAAUGUUGCUAUAGUAGUCCACCUUGUUGGUGCAUACCAAGUCUACUGCCAACCCUUAUUUGCUUUUGUUGAGAAAGCAGCAGCGAAAAAGUACCCGGAUAGUGAAUUUAUCUCGAGAGAAAUCAAAAUCCCAGUUCCCGGUCUUGGCCAUUGCAACCUUAACCUCUUUAGAUUGGUGUGGAGGACUGCCUUUGUGAUUGUGACCACUGUAAUCUCUAUGCUCCUCCCGUUCUUUAACGAUGUGGUUGGACUUCUAGGGGCUGUGGGAUUCUGGCCAUUAACUGUCUACUUCCCAGUUGAGAUGUA